AUGCACAGCUGUUGGCAUCAUAAAUCGUUUAUCAAGAAACAAAAUGAUACUUUUGAACUCAGUAUUCGGAAGAAACAGCAACAAUGCAGUCCUAGUUUGACGUCCAGAACUCCAGAUGUUGAUGUUUGCGAAGAAAAUAUGGAGCUAUGCAUAUUGUAUUUUGAGGGUAAAAUCAGAAGCCCUUCUGGGUUCAUCAUACUACAAAGUAUGUUCAUGCCUAAAUCUCUUCAUUGCUAUCAUACAGCAGCUACAAUGUUUCCAUCAAAUAGUGCCAAAAGCAGAAAGAAUAAAGUGGAUUACGUCAAGCAUUCAGAUUUCUCUUCUUAUUCAAGGAAUCGGUGGGACAAGAGGCUGCUAACUUACUGA
rnacentral:rRNA from 1 species